GGGCAAAGAGGGCGCUGGGCUUCCCCAGGCCAGCCGGCCGCACCCACGCUCACAGCCAUGUCCCGACGUGGCCGGUGCUUUGGCUCCGUGUUUAUGGCGAGGAAAUGUUAAAUGAGCACCUGGUUGCACCUGCUCACAGCCCGUUCUCAUCCUGGAAACCGCCCGCACCUGGGCGGGCGAGGCAAGGCCGCUUUCCUGCCUGGGCAACGCCGGGCCCUGCGAGCCGGUGCUGGGAGGAGAACGGGCUCCGCGGGGGUGACCAAGCCGAAGGAACUGGACAUAGGUGCCAUUUUAAGCGGCGGAGCCGGACAAGUUGGGGGUAUGGCUACGGGCACCGGUGUGCGGAGCCGGAGACAGAAAAUGGCCCGGUUUGUCCGGCAGCCCGGCCACGGCCGGUACAUCUGGAAGCCCAAUAAGUUCGUUUGGAAGCGGCCGUUCCCGAGGAGCCAGCAGAGGCAGGGCUCCGAGCGCGGCCGGGCAGCCGGCUCCCUGCAGCCCCGCCGGCGGCUGCGCGGCUCCGAGGCAGCGCCGCUGCCGAGCGGGGAGAGCUGCGCCCGGCCCGGGGUCAGCGGGGCGGCUCGCCCGGCUCUGGAGCGGCACUGCCGCCCCCGGCAGCGACAGCCUUGCCCGCAUCCUUCCCGCGAGCUGGAGACGGAGAUCGGCGAGUGCUGGAGAGCCCCGGCUGGAGCCGUGCGAGGGCUGCAACAGGUUCCCUCUUGUUCUGGCUGCUGGGUGAGACCGGGUAUCUCACUGCUCUCUUGUACUUCUGUCAUGCAGGAUCCAUUGCAAAGCACAUUCAGAAAAGGAAGACCUUUAUUGUUUCUUACUCAUGAGAAAGAUCUGUCAAGUCAGUGAAUGGUUUGAUUGAAUGAGAGCAGUGACACUGCUUUCCAUGGUGGAAGAUUUUUAAAAAGAGAGGUAUCGUUGUGUAUUUCUCGACAUCAAUCCAUUGUGACUCAUGCAGACACAUCAGUGAAAGAACAGAACCUGCUGCACCCUGUGAGGAACGAGAAAUUUCAGCUGGAUGACUGCAUAAGGGCUUUGCAAGACCACCAGCUCUGAACUGAACAACUACCCCCUGACGACUCUCUAGAAAGGAACAUAGGCAAAAUUGAGCCAUGGGGCUCUAAAGCUAAAAUCUUAAAAGUUCCCUUAACUCUACAUCUGACCCCAGGUGCCUUCGAGAGCCUCUGAGGUGGCACCUCAAAUUUUGGUAAGCAUAACUCUUCCAGUACCUGAAAUUAUGCUUUUUCCACUGAAAAAGGCUGAAUUCUAGACAGGACUCAAGUACCUUGACAUGUAGCCCCAUGUUAGCCUGACCAUUCCCCCUCAUGUUAAUAAACUUUAACACAAAUUUCUCCUAUGGUGAAAUAAUCACCUCCCACGUGCUGGAACCGCCGACCAUCUGCCGAGGAGAUCAGCCCUUAGUGAGAAAGUGCCCUGUGUCCAACUCACUCUGCUUGCCUGUCUCUGGGAGAACAGCUCAGCACAGCAGUGCUUGGGCUCUGCUGUUCCUGGGCUCCUGUUUCAUCAUGACUAAUGUGAAUGGUUUGGAAUGGUUUUAGCAAAUGCACUGAAUGAGGACUGUGUUGUGACAGCUGAUGGGAGAUGGUGCUUGGGUUUUGUAUUCUCAGAGAUGCUGAGAGACUGGAGGAGCCAGGGCAAAUCUACAGUGCAGAGGGCAAAUAACCAACCUGGUGUGGCUGGCUGAAAUUUGCCUCUGUGUUGUCUGGCUGGUUUAGAGGGUACCCUGCCCUGACCCUUCUUUUGGGGACAGGGUUGCUGUCCUAGAAGGAGGAGUCAGCUCUUCCUGGAGCUGCAGUACAGUCCUGUGCAGCAGCACAGCUGCCAGCUGGCCCUUACUGCCAAGCAGAGCUGCUCGCUGGGGCUCACAUGCUUUAAAGUCUUAGCCUGGGUCUCAGUGGAAACAAGGAGAAUGAUUUGAUACACAUUCCCCUGAUUUGACAUACUGUGUGGUUACAACAUGGUGUGUCCUCCACAAGAAAUCCAAAAUACAUGUCGCUGUGCAGGCACAAAUCCUGAUAAACUGUUCAUGUGGAAAGAUACAAUUUUCAUGGUUGUCAUCAAAGCCAGUAUAUGUAUUCAUUUGUGGAAGCAUGUCAGACACCAUAUGUCACUAAUAUGCCUUUGAUAUGAUGGUGUCUGAAUCAUUUUUUUUACUGCUGAAUGGCAUAUGUUUAAAUGUAAGCAUCUGUUCUGUGUCUGUACUGUCUGUAUUAUUUAGUCUUUAUUUCUUAUUUUCUUUUGACUAAAAGUUUGAUUUAAACCUAGAAAAAGUGUGGGAUUCAUCUUAUUUUUAAAGAAGUAGAGUUUUGGUAGUAUUUCAGCAAGGUGGCCAAUGUGUAUCUUCCCAAGGACAAGAAGGUCAUUUAAAAGAGAAUUUUUCCCUUUUCAGUAAUCAGAAAAAAAAUCAGUUCCCAGGGAAAACAAAUACUAGAUUUGACUACAAGUUUGUUAAAUGAAAAAAACAUUGUUUUAGUGUUGAGCAGGUUCUGCAAUGUAUGGAUUUGCUGAAAAUAAGUCCUUGUAAGAGCCAUAUGUUACACAAUGAUGACAGUAAAUUGGUUCUAUCCAGAAACUUUUCUGAUUCAGUUAAAGAAGUUGCUGUAUAAUAAAUUACUUAAUAAAGGAAUGAAAUAAUA